CCCUUCCAAGCCAACCCAUUUUGUGAUUGACUGGGGACAAUCCAGAAGAGGUUCAGGUCUCUGUUUUGCAGUCACUUUCAACUAUCUUGGAAGAGACACACGUUUGAA